rnacentral:rRNA from 1 species
UGGCCGCGGGAUUUGCUCCCCCGCCAAUUCCUUUAAGUUUCAGCCUUGCGGCCGUACUUCCCAGGUGGCUCGCUUCACGGCUUCCCUGCGGCACCAGACACGGUCGCGCCAUGCCUGACACCUAGCGAGCAUAGUUUACGGCUGGGACUACCCGGGUAUCUAAUCCGGUUCGUGCCCCCAGCUUUCGUCCCUCACCGUCGAACCCGUUCUGGUAAGACGCCUUCGCCACAGGUGGUCUCACAGGGAUUACAAGAUUUCACUCCUACCCCUGUAGUACCUCUUACCUCUCCCGGUUCCAAGCCUGGCAGUAUCCCCCGAAAGCCUAACAGUUAAGCUAUCAGAUUUCCCGGAGGACUGACCAAACCGGCUACGGACCCUUUAGACCCAAUAAUAACGGUCACCACUCGGGCCGCCGGUGUUACCGCGGCGGCUGGCACCGGUCUUGCCCGGCCCUUGCUAACAGAUGUAGUUUACACAUCUGGACAGCCAGCAUAUGAUGCUGGCACUCGGUGUUCCCUUAUCACGGUUUCCCGCAUUGUAAAGUUUUCGCGCCUGCUGCGCCCCGUAGGGCCUGGAUUCAUGUCUCAGAAUCCAUCUCCGGGCUCUUGCUCUCACAACCCGUACCCGUUGUUGGCUAGUAGGUACAUUACACCCACUACUACCUGAUAGGCCGCAGACCCAUCCUUGGGCGGACGAAUCCGUUUUACGCAUAAAGCAUUCCAGCACAUAUGCGUCAUCCGGUAUUAUCCCCAGUUUCCCGGGGUUAUCCCAGACCCAAGGGCAGGUUAUCCACGUGUUACUGAGCAGUAUGCCAUGUUCACGAGGAACAUAUGACUCGCAUGGCUUAAUCAAAUCACUAGUGCGGCCGCCUG